GCUUGUCUCAAAGAUUAAGCCAUGCAUGUCUAAGUAUGAAUGUUAUACAGUGAAACUGCGAAUGGCUCAUUAAAACAGUUAUUGUUUAUUUGAUAAUCAAAUUUACAUGGAUAACCGUGGUAAUUCUAGAGCUAAUACAUGCUGAUAUGCCUGACUCUUAGGAAGGGCUGUAUUUAUUAGAUAACAAACCAAUAUUCCUCGUGUCUAUUGUGAUGACUCAUAAUAACUGAUCGAAUCGCAUGGACUUUGUCCGCGAUACAUCAUUCAAGUUUCUGCCCCAUCAGCUUUCGAUGGUAGUGUAUUGGACUACCAUGGCUUUAACGGGUAACGGAGAAUAAGGGUUCGACUCCGGAGAGGGAGCCUGAGAAACGGCUACCACAUCCAAGGAAGGCAGCAGGCGCGCAAAUUACCCACUCUCGGCACGAGGAGGUAGUGACGAAAAAUAACGAGGCGGUUCUCUAAGAGGCCCGCUAUCGGAAUGGGUACAAUUAAACCCUUAACGA
rnacentral:rRNA from 1 species